GACGAACGCUGGCGGCGCGCUUAACACAUGCCAGUCGAACGGAAAGGCCUGCUUUCCCUUGUGGAUUGCGGGUACUCGAGUGGCGAACGGGUGAGUAACACGUGAGUGAUCUGCCCCCAACUUGGGUAUAAGCCUGGGAAACUGGGUCUAAUUCCCGAUAGGACUGCAGGGUGGUGCCUGUGGUGGAAAACGAUUUUCUAGUGGUUGGGGAUGAGCUCGCGGCCUAUCAGCUUGUUGGUGGGGUAAUGGCCUACCAAGGCGGCGACGGGUAGCCGGCCUGAGAGGGUGGACGGCCACAUUGGGACUGAGAUACGGCCCAGACUCCUUCGGGAGGCAGCAGUGGGGAAUAUUGCACAAUGGGCGGAAGCCUGAUGCAGCGACGCCGCGUGGGGGAUGACGGCCUUCGGGUUGUAAACUCCUUUCGACCGCGAGGAAGCCACCUGGUUGGAAGGGUGGUGACGGUAGUGGUAGAAGAAGCACCGGCUAACUACGUG
rnacentral:rRNA from 1 species